rnacentral:rRNA from 1 species
UACAGAGGUCUCAAGCGUUGUUCGGAUUCAUUGGGCGUAAAGGGCGCGUAGGCGGCGAGGUAAGUCGGGUGUGAAAUCUCAGAGCUCAACUCUGAAACUGCACUCGAUACUGCUUUGCUAGAGGACUGGAGAGGAGAUUGGAAUUCACGGUGUAGCAGUGAAAUGCGUAGAGAUCGUGAGGAAGGCCAGUGGCGAAGGCGGAUCUCUGGACAGUUCCUGACGCUGAGGCGCGAAGGCCAGGGGAGCAAACGGG